CACCCCUUUUCUUCCACCCUUUCAACCCCUUAACACUACAUAAGAGAGAAAAAAGAGUAGAGAGGAAAGCAAAGAGAUUCCUGGAUAAAGUCAAGGGCCAGAAAGGGGGACAGUUAUUGCUAGACUUCAUGCUGACUAGGGAUCAAGUUCCUUGGGGCAAGUUUGAAAAUACAGCAGGUAACAUAGCAAGUAUGACCAGUGAAGUCACAAUCAUGCUGGUGUAAUCUUGGCUGCCACCCUCUGUUUACAAACUGAGUUGAAUGUCCUACCUACUAAUACCUAGCAACAACAGGUAAUAGCUUCAUUGGGAGUCCUCUGCGUAGAACUCCAGCCACCACAAAUUUUUCUAUUGACUAGUUACAGCUACAUGUGGAAAUGUUUUGGAGAGAAUCUACUUGCUUCAGAAGUAGCUCUUGGAAUUUCUUUGGGCUAAGAAAUCACCAAUGGCUACAGGAUCUUUGGCUAAAUUUUUCUUCCAUGUCCAGGUGUCUCAUCUUGGCUGCCUCUCUCUUGUGCACAGAUGCACUUAGAAGCAAAGGCACAUUCUACAUGAUUGUAAGGCCGGGCUUUAUUGGAUAGCUGCUUGCAAGUGCAGCUUUGCUGCUGAAGCACGCAUCUGUAUCUGCAUCUGUAUCUGCAUCUACUGGAAACCAAAGAACUGACAAACAGAGUUCUUCAGUCAGGCAGCAAAGACCCACCAUGAGCAGCGACUCCCAGUCUUCAGAACCAGCACAAUAACAAGAGACCACGGACACAGAAGUCCAAGCAGAAUGCCCACACUGUCCAGAAACAGCAAAGGACUUCAAGAGGACCGGGGCUGGAGAAACAGCUCAGCAGGUAA